rnacentral:rRNA from 1 species
CAUAAAUACGGGGGCAUGAAGAUAAUCUAUUCUUUCUUUACUCCGUUGACAAUGGGACAAUGUUCUUUUUGUGUUUCAGAGUAAAAAAACAGACUCCAAUCUGAAUCUGACGAGUAAAAAAAUAUCGUUGUGUUUCAGAGUGUUACGCAAUUUAUCAACAAGAGCAAAGACUCUAAUCUGAUGAUGUAGGACAGCUUUAAUGUGACAGAGGAUCAUGGUGGUCGAUGGAUUGUGCACCCGGUAGUAGACUAGGAAAGGAACAUUAUUUACGGAACACAAUGAUAUUCAGAGCAGCCCUGCACUAUGUGAGAUUUAGAAGUUGGUACUGCCGGCGGAUGCAUCCAUGUGCUAAUCUCCUGGCACCGCGUAGACGGAGCCAAACGAGUUGGGGCCUCCAGCCGGCUGGUAGUGGACAACAACACCGGGUUUGUUAAUUAAUCAACAAGUCACAGAUUGUCCUCUUUUCUGAUUGGUCUGGUGUGGAUUAUCAGGCCUGCCGCGCAAUCAUAGAUUUAUCUUUUGAUUUUUGUGGGUGGACAGAAACACCCUUUCUAAAGUUUUCUAGGGAUUGUAAUGAAGCACAGUAACACACUCCAG